AUUGAACGCUGGCGGCAGGCCUAACACAUGCAAGUCGAACGCGUGGCGGACGGGUGAGUAAUGUCUGGGAAACUGCCUGAUGGAGGGGGAUACCUACUGGCAACGGUAGCUAAUACCACAUACCAUCAGAGAUGCCCCGAUGGGAGUAGACAGUUGGGGGGGUAACGGCUCACAAAGGCCCCGAUCCCUAGCUGGUCUGAGAGUAUGACCAGCCCAACGGGAACUGAGACACGGUCCAGACUCCUACGGGAGGCAGCAUUGGGGAAUAUUGCACAAUGGGCGCAAGCCUGAUGCAGCCAUGCCGCGUGUAUGAAGAAGGCCUUCGGGUUGUAAAGUACUUUCAGCGGGGAGGCGUUACCCGCAGAAGAAGCACCGGCUAACUCCGUGCCAGCAGCCGCGGUAAUAC
rnacentral:rRNA from 1 species